rnacentral:rRNA from 1 species
UUCAGAGGAACCUGUUCUAUAAUUGAUGAUCCACGAGUAAAAUUACUUAUUUUAAAAGUUUAUAUAUCGCCGUAGUUUGAAUAUUUUUGUAGAAAAUAAAUAUUCAAGAUUUUAUUAGAAAUUAAAUCAGGUCAAGGUAUAGUUUAUAGAUAAGAAGAAAUGGGUUACAAUAAAUAAAUUUAAAUGGAUAAUAAAUUGAAAAAUUAUUUGAAGGUGGAUUUGAAAGUAAUUUUUAUUAAAUUAUAAUAAUGAUUUUGGCUCUAAAAUAUGUACAUAUCGCCCGUCAUUUUCACUAUAAAGUGAAACAAGUCGUAACAUAGUAGGUGUACUGGAAAGUGUACCUGGAACGACAAAUUGGAGCUUGUUAGAAAGCAUUUUAGUUACAUUAAAAAGUUUAUUGUGAAAAUCAAUAUAAUUUGAAUUUAUAUUAUUAUUAAUGAAUUAAAUUUUUAGUUAUUUAAAUAAAAUAUUUUUAGGUUUUAUUAUAAAGAUGAAAAAAUAAAUUUUAUUAUAGUGAAUUAGUAGUGUGAAUUCAAUAAUUAAAGUUAUUUUAAGAAUAGUUAAAUUUUAGUACCUUGUGCAUCAGGGUUUAUUAAAUAAAAAUUAUUUAAUUAGUUUUCUCGAAUUUAAAAGAGUUAUAAAGUUAUAAUUUUUAUUGUUUAAUAAAUAUUAUUAAUAAUUUUAUAGUAAUGAAAUGUUAUUCGUUUUUAAAUAUAUUUAGUUUUUUAAGAAAUAAAUUUAAUUUAUUUAAUAAAAAUAUUUUAUUAAAUUUUUAAUUAAAUAUUAUUAUUAUUUUAUAUUUUUAGGGAUGAGCUUGAAAAUAAAGGUUUUAAAAAUAAAUAAAAAAUUUAAAAAAAUAGGAUUGAAAAUUUUCAUUUUUAUUAGUAUUUUAUAAUUAUUUUAAUUAUAAAUAAAAUUUUUAUUUAUUUUAAAUUUUUUAUUAAAAUAUAAAUUUAAAUAUGAAAAAUUUAGGAAUAAUGAUAAAAUUAGUAUAAUAAAUAUGUAUUUUUAAUUUAGUUUUAGGUUAUAUAAAGGAAUUCGGCAAAAUAUUUUUCACCUGUUUAUUAAAAACAUGGCCUUUUGAAUUUAAUCUAAGGUCUAACCUGCCCAAUGAAAUUUUUAAUGGCCGCGGUAUUUUGACCGUGCAAAGGUAGCAUAAUCAUUUGUUUUUUAAUUGAAAGCUGGUAUGAAGGGUUGAAUGAGAAAAUAACUGUCUCUAUUUAAUUUUAUUAAAAUUUUAUUUUUAAGUUAAAAAGCUUAAAUAAUUUUUGAAGACGAGAAGACCCUAUAGAGUUUAAUAAUUAUAUAAUUUAGAGAAUUAGGAAUUUAAUUUUUUUAAGUUAUAUAAUUAUUUGAUUGGGGUGAUUAAAAAAUUAAAUUAACUUUUUUAAAUUUUUACAUUAAUUUAUGAAUAGUUGAUCCUUAUUAGAGAUUAAAAGAAUAAAUUACCUUAGGGAUAACAGCGUAAUUUUUCUUUAGAGUUCAAAUCGAAAGGAAAGAUUGCGACCUCGAUGUUGGAUUAAAAUUUAUAAUUGGUGAAGAAGCUAAAUAUAUUGGGUCUGUUCGACCUUUAAAAUUUUACUUGAUCUGAGUUCAAACCGGUGUGAGCCAGGUUGGUUUCUAUCUCAAAAUAAUUAUUAUAUUUUAGUACGAAAGGACCAAAUAUAGGAUUGUAAAUUUUAUUUUUGAAUAUUAUUAAAAUGUUAUUUUGGCAGAUUAGUGCUAUAGAUUUAGAAUCUUUGAAUGUAAAUUUUACAAAUAAUACUUGAUAUUUAAGGAUAUGAUUAUAAUAAUAGUUUCUAUGUUAAUUUUGGUUUUUUGUGUAAUAAUUAGUGUAGCUUUUUUAACUUUAUUGGAACGAAAGGUUUUAGGAUAUAUUCAAAUUC